rnacentral:rRNA from 1 species
CAAUAGCGUAUAUUAAAGUUGUUGCAGUUAAAAAGCUCGUAGUUGGAUUUGUGGCGGUUCCUGUGGUCCGAUUUCGGUACUUUCGGGGACUGCCAUCCUUGGGUGGAUCCUGUGUGGCAUUAGGUUGUCGUGCAGGGGAUGCCCAUCGUUUACUGUGAAAAAAUUAGAGUGUUCAAAGCAGGCUUAUGCCGUUGAAUAUAUUAGCAUGGAAUAAUGAGAUAGGACCUUGGUACUAUUUUGUUGGUUUGCGCACCGAGGUAAUGAUUAAUAGGGACAGUUGUGGGUAUUCGUAUUCCAUUGUCAGAGGUGAAAUUCUUGGAUUUCUGGAAGACGAACGAAUGCGAAAGCAUUUACCAAGGAUGUUUUCAUUAA